UACAGAGACCGCAAGCGUUAUUCGGAUUCACUGGGCGUAAAGGGUGCGCAGGCGGUUGUGUGUGUCAGGUGUGAAAGCCCGGGGCUUAACCCCGGAAUUGCGCCUGAAACUACAUGACUAGAGCAUUGGAGAGGGUAGCGGAAUUCACGGUGUAGCAGUGAAAUGCGUAGAUAUCAGGAGGAACACCGAUGGCGAAGGCAGGUCUCUGGGCUGACACUGACGCUCAUGCACGAAAGCGUGGGGAGCAAACAGG
rnacentral:rRNA from 1 species